rnacentral:rRNA from 1 species
GACGUAGGGGGCCAGCGUUGUUCGGAAUUACUGGGUGUAAAGGGUUCGUAGGCGGUGUAGCAAGUCGGGAGUGAAAUCUCUGGGCUUAACCCAGAGGCUGCUUCCGAAACUGCUGUGCUUGAGUGUGGGAGAGGCGCGUGGAAUUGCAGGUGUAGCGGUGAAAUGCGUAGAUAUCUGCAGGAACACCGGUGGCGAAGGCGGGUCUCUGGGCCGAUACUGACGCUGAGGAGCGAAAGCGUGGGGAGCGAACAGG